CUGGCCAUAGCGCAGCCCGGUAGCGCGCCUGCUUUGGGAGCAGGAUGUCGCAGGUUCAAAUCCUGCUGGCCAGACCA
rnacentral:tRNA from 2 species